GGCAAACAGCUCUUCAAUUAAGUUGUUAAGACAAUUGGCCUACGUGAAGUUUGCUUCUUUCGAUUGCAAUAUACCGAUUCGAGGGGUAACCUAACAUGGAUAAAAUUAUAUAAAAAGCUCACAACCGUGACCACCCCGAUGUAUAGAUCUCCAGAAAUGGUUGCCACCUGGAACAAUUAUGUUAAAGACCCCAAAUUGGAUAUCUGUGCUUAAGGAUGUGUUCUUUAUUGUUUAUGUUUCCAAAAACAUCCAUUUGAAGUUUCAGCCAAGCUACGAAUUACAAACGGAAAUUAUACAAAGCCAUCAGAUGCCGGAUUUAAUUGUUUCCAUGAUGUCAUCAAAUAGUGAAUAACUGUGAACCCCUCAAAUAGGUUUAACAUUUCAACAAUUUUAGAUCGUUUGGCUGGGAUAUCUUAAACGAAAAAUUGGUCAUUAAAGAGACCAAUUGAAUUGGUGGGAAAAACCAUUAGUAAUACCACCAAGUGGUUCACCGGAAAACAGUCCAGCAACAACAAAUGCACCUGUGCUCUCUCCACUUCCCUCACGACCUACACCACGAAGGCCUACACAU